rnacentral:sRNA from 1 species
AUUUUUAAAGUCACAAACCCUAUACCCACUGUUUCGCAAUUAUCUCCCUUUUAAAAAGGGCUGUGCGCUUUAUUUUAACAAUUGAGAAUCCCCUUUUCAUAAGGAUGCUUUGUACCAAUUUUGGUUAGAUUUGGCCCUGUGGUUUUAGAGAAGAAGUCGAAAAUGUGAAAAGUUUAUAGACGGACGACGGAUGAUCAGAAAAGCCCACUUGAACCUUCGGUUCAGGUGAGUUAAAAAGUCUGUAAAAUAUUUUUUUUCUUCUGUAUGCUGUACAAUGUAAAAAAUUAUCAUCUGAUAUUAAAACUUAUUUACAUU